AAACUGUGUUAUGGGCAUAAACUGACAAUAUCCUUGAAACGCUCCCAACAUUGGAAGAAUGUUUCAUCGUCCUUUUGGGGCGAAGUUCAUGAUCAACUUUCUGAGGGU